UCAGCGAAUUGCAAUUCCUAUUUGUUUUAUUAGGGCUUUAGAUAUGCAUAGGUCCAGGACAUCAGAUGAUAAUCCACAAUUAUGGAAUUUUCGAUAGUGAAUGAAAGCGACAGAAAUGCGUUUGACUGAUUCGCUUGUGUAGGUUACAGUCCCCCGUCAUCGCAUUUCAGAGGGCGUGGAAACUUUAGGUUAUGGUACAUUCCUUUUCAAAGGCACACAACACGGUGUAUGUCUGAGGUCAACUCAUUGGAAUAUCAGAGGAAUUGUGUAUGCUGACCUCUAUUUAGCCAAGGGUCCCGACUCCACAUCCUGACAAGGACAAUAUUUGCACCCGCCAGGCAGCCACGGUGCUUGGUUCAGCCUCCAUCUCUCUCUCUCUCCACCUGGUAUCCAGGGUAGGCUACUCCGGCGCUGCUGAUGUGCCGUGCUGCUUCAAGCUUAUUUUACUGAGGCCCCAUCCAUUUGGAAAUGAAGUCAGCCGAGAGAAGAAGCACGGAUGGAGAUGAAGAGAUGGGUGACAAGAGAAACAGGUGACUUUAAGGCUUUAUAGUAAAGCUUCUUGCUCUUCAAUCCUGACAGAAUAGAGUUACAAGUAAACAAAAAUAAAAAGUAAAUGUC